GCAGUUGAUUGUCCAAACGCAAUUCUUGUUCAGUUACUAAUAAUAAACCAAGAAUUGUGCCUGGACAUCUGUUGC
rnacentral:pre_miRNA from 1 species